AAAGUACAAAAAAAAAAAAUCUACUUGCUUUUAUACGUAAUAUUGUGAUUUUAAUAUCGUAGUAAAUCUGUUAUGAUAUAUCUUUUACGGUCCCCAAUAGAAAAUAGAUAAGCAUAUUUUUAUAUAUUUUCGUUUCAAAUUCUGUUAUGUCUAUUAAUGUUGGAUACGGAUCGUUUAGUAUCAGAUAAAUUCAUUCUAUUCAGAUUCGGAUUUAGAUCAUACCAAUUGACAUCUCUAGUAAAACUGUCCAGCCUGUCUUGGUAUGACCGUUGGCCGUGCUUUUUUUGGAGAGGCAUCUAGUUUUACAGUGAUGCGAAAAAAUUUUAUGUAAAAAAAAGGCCUAAUCAAUCAUUCAUCAAAUCUUAUCUCAUGCAAUAUGCGGAAUUUAAAACGGUGAUGU
rnacentral:lncRNA from 1 species